UGGGGAAUCUUGCACAAUGGGGGCAACCCUGAUGCAGCGACGCCGCGUGAGCGAUGAAGCCCUUCGGGGCGUAAAGCUCUUUCGACCGGAACGAUAAUGACGGUACCGGGAGAAGAAGCUGCGGCUAACUACGUGCCAGCAGCCGCGGUAAUACGUAGGCAGCAAGCGUUGUUCGGAGUUACUGGGCGUAAAGAGUGCGUAGGCGGUUUUCUAAGUUCGGUGUGAAAUCUCCCGGCUUAACUGGGAGGGUGCGCCGAAGACUGGGAAGCUGGAGUGUGGGAAAGGCAGGCGGAAUUCCUGGUGUAGCGGUGAAAUGCGUAGAUAUCAGGAGGAACACCUGCGGUGUAGACAGCUUUCUGGACCAAAACUGACGCUGAGGCACGAAAGCGUGGGUAGCAAAC
rnacentral:rRNA from 1 species